AAUAUUGGACAAUGGGCGCAAGCCUGAUCCAGCCAUGUCGCGUGUGUGAAGAACGUCCUCGGGUUGUAAUGCACUUUCAGUGAGGAAGAACGCCUGGCGUCUAAUACUCGCCAGGGUAGACAUCACUCAUAGAAGAAGUACUGGCUACCUCCGUGCCAGCAGCCGCGGUAAUACGGAGGGUGCGAGCGUUAAUCGGAAUUACUGGGCGUAAAGCGCGCGUAGGUGGCUUGAUCAGCCGGUUGUGAAAGCCCCGGGCUCAACCUGGGAACGGCAUCCGGAACUGUCAGGCUAGAGUGCAGGAGAGGAAGGUAGAAUUCCCGGUGUAGCGGUGAAAUGCGUAGAGAUCGGGAGGAAUACCAGUGGCGAAGGCGGCCUUCUGGACUGACACUGACACUGAGGUGCGAAAGCGUGGGUAGCAAAC
rnacentral:rRNA from 1 species